rnacentral:rRNA from 1 species
UACGAAGGGUGCAAGAGUUAAUCGUAAUUACUGGGCGUAAAGCGCGCGUGGGUGGUUCAGUAAGUUGGAUGUGCCAUCCCCUGGCUCAACCUGGGAACUGCAUCCAAAACUGCUGAGCUAGAGUACGGUAGAGGGUGGUGGAAUUUCCUGUGUAGCGGUGAAAUGCGUAGAUAUAGGAAGGAACACCAGUGGCGAAGGCGACCACCUGGACUGAUACUGACACUGAGGUGCGAAAGCGUGGGGAGCAAACAGG